AUCAGUUAUCUGGUGAAUCAGUUAUCUGAUGAAUCAAUUAUCUGGUGAAUCAGUUAUCUGGUGAAUCAAAUAUCUGGUGAAUCAGUUAUCUGGUGAAUCAGUUAUCUGAUGAAUCAAUUAUCUGGUGAAUCAGUUAUCUGAUGAAUCAAUUAUCUGGUGUGCACAACAUUUGCUUGCUCUAAAGUUAAUAAAGCAAAGCCAUUUUCUUUAUUUCAGCUUCAUUUCAUCCUGUGUUGAAGACAGACUGAAAAAAA